GCUGGGUGUGGUGGUGUGCACCUGUAAUCCCAGCUACUCAGGAGGCUGAGGUGGGAGAAUCGCUUGAACCCGGGAGGCAGAGGUUGCAGUGAGCCGAGAUCCCACCACUGCACUCCAGCCUGGGCAACAGAGUGAGAUUCCAUCUCAG
rnacentral:SRP_RNA from 1 species